rnacentral:rRNA from 1 species
GACGAACCGUGCAAACGUUGUUCGGAAUCACUGGGCUUAAAGGGCGCGUAGGCGGGCUCGCCAGUCAGGGGUGAAAGCCCACGGCUUAACCGUGGAAGUGCCUCUGAUACUGCGGGUCUCGAGGGAGGUAGGGGCGUGCGGAACUUCCGGUGGAGCGGUGAAAUGCGUAGAGAUCAGGAGGAACACCCGUGGCGAAGGCGGCGCCCUGGUCCGUUACUGACGCUGAGACGCGAAAGCGCGGGGAGCGAACGGG